rnacentral:rRNA from 1 species
AUACGAACCGUCCAAACGUUAUUCGGAAUUACUGGGCUUAAAGGGUAUGUAGGCGGCGCUGUUAGUCGGGUGUGAAAGCCCUCGGCUCAACCGAGGAAUUGCGCCCGAUACUGCAGUGCUUGAGGGAGACAGAGGUAAGCGGAACUGAUGGUGGAGCGGUGAAAUGCGUUGAUAUCAUCAGGAACACCGGUGGCGAAAGCGGCUUACUGGGUCUCUUCUGACGCUGAGAUACGAAAGCUAGGGGAGCGAAGGGGA